CCCACAUCAUCCCCUAUUUGAAUGACUGACCUUUUUCUAUGGAACACAAUAUAAUAUUUGUUUAUUUACUUGUUUGUUUGUUGUCCAUGCAGUGAAAUUCACUGGAAGAGAGAAAGUCAAACAGUUUUGGAGUCACAUGAGGGUGAGCAAAUAAUGACAGAAUUUUCUCUCUCUCUUUUUUUUUUUUUUUUUUUUUCGUGAACUAACACAGCCAAUUUAGUUUUUUGUUGCAAAUCUCCUGUGAAAAUGUGUGCUUUCAGAAUGUUGACUUUUAAAAUCCCUUCUUUUUGUUCAUCUUUGCCUUUGGAAUUCUAGCGCACACUGAUGACAUCACUUGUUUUGGAAUCUCUGUGUCAACUUGUGUGACAUCACAAAGCUGGUCUCUGUAGUAAGACCUUGACCGUAAGGUGAGUGUGUGUGUGUGUGUGUGUGUGUGUGUGUGUGUGUGUGUGUGUGUGUGUNNNNNNNNNNNNNNNNNNNNNNNNNNNNNNNNNNNNNNNNUGUGUGUGUGUGUGUGUGUGUGUGUGUGUGUGUGUGUGUGUGUGUCCAUGUGUGUGUGAGUGUGUGUGUUGGUGCUGUAGUGUUUUUGGCCCCGGGCGAACCUGAGGGUGCUGAGAGUGACUGCAUUUGAUGACAUUACAGCAUGAGAAACUCACACACUUCAUGCAUCCAUGAAGCAUAUUUUCAUGCCUUGAGGAGGAAGCGAGUGCCAGCUCUCUCUUCUGCCUCCUCUCAUUAUUGCCCUGCAGGCGUGGCUGGGACUCGGGCCCCCCGGGCUGGACUGAAACACGGCCCCCGAGGCCUCUCUGAAGGACCUGAGCAGCAGGGGUUCAGAUGCCCCUGGCUCUCUCUCUCUCACACUCUCUCGGUGGAGACUGAAAUGGAGUGCGGGGUUAUGAACACACAUGGUGGGAGAGUUUGCACAAAGUGA
ensembl:lncRNA